rnacentral:rRNA from 1 species
UACGGAGGAGGCAAGCGUUAUCCGGAAUUAUUGGGCGUAAAGCGUCCGCAGGUGGACAUACAAGUCUGCUGUCAAAGUGCAGAGCUUAACUCUGUAAAGGCGGUGGAAACUGUAGGUCUUGAGUAUGGUAGGGGUAGAGGGAAUUCCCGGUGUAGCGGUGAAAUGCGUAGAUGUCGGGAAGAACACCAGUGGCGAAAGCGCUCUACUGGGCCAUAACUGACACUGAGGGACGAAAGCUAGGGGAGCGAAAGGG